ACUGCAGUAGCUCAAUCGGAAGAGCGAUGAAAUAUUGAUCCAAGGCCCCUGUUUCAAGCCCCGGCUGCAGUC